ACGCAGCUAGUCGAAGAUGUUGUUGAAGUGCAUGAAGAGAAUACAAAUAGCAGUAUUGAUGUAUCUGAUAUCAUUGUAGAAUCAGAAAGUGAAAUCGCAGAUAACAUUCACACUGACGAAGAUGACUUGGACGCCGGCGUAUUUGGAAUAUUAACAAUCUACACUUCUAGUGAAAUCCACGCCAUUGUUGACAAGGAGACGAUUUGCAAGAAUUCUGAUACUGCAGACACAACUGGAUACUUCUAUUUUUCACUCAAAAAUUUGUAAAAUUAAUGUAUUAGAAUAAUAAAGAAAUAUACAUAAUUCAGA